rnacentral:misc_RNA from 1 species
AGCAGCCGCGGUAAUUCCAGCUCCAAUAGCGUAUAUUAAAGUUGUUGCAGUUAAAAGCUCGUAGUUGAAUUUCGGGAUUAAUAUGUUGGUCGUGCCUUGGUACGUACUGGCAUUAUUGAUUCCUACCUUCUGAAGAACCUCGAUGUCAUUAAUUUGGUGUCUUGGGGAAUCAGGACCGUUACUUUGAAAAAAUUAGAGUGUUUAAAGCAGGCUCGCGCUUGAAUACAUUAGCAUGGAAUAAUGAAAUAGGACGUUUGAUUCUAUUUUGUUGGUUUCUAGGAUCGACGUAAUGAUUAAUAGGGAUAGUUGGGGGCAUUAGUAUUCAAUUGUCAGAGGUGAAAUUCUUGGAUUUAUUGAAGACUGACUACUGCGAAAGCAUUUGCCAAGGAUGUUUUCAUUAAUCAAGAACGAAAGUUAGGGGAUCGAAGACGAUCAGAUACCGUCGUAGUCUUAACCAUAAACUAUGCCGACUAGGGAUCGGAUGAUGUUAAUUUUUUUAAUGACUCAUUCGGCGCCUUAC